rnacentral:rRNA from 1 species
AUUGAACGCUGGCGGCAUGCCUUACACAUGCAAGUCGAACGGCAGCACGGGGCAACCUGGUGGCGAGUGGCGAACGGGUGAGUAAUGCACCGGAACGUACCUUUCAGUGGGGGAUAACGUAGCGAAAGUUACGCUAAUACCGCAUAUUCUGUGAGCAGGAAAGCAGGGGAUCGCAAGACCUUGCGCUGAUUGAGCGGCCGAUGUCAGAUUAGCUAGUUGGUGAGGUAAAGGCUCACCAAGGCGACGAUCUGUAGCGGGUCUGAGAGGAUGAUCCGCCACACUGGAACUGAGACACGGUCCAGACUCCUACGGGAGGCAGCAGUGGGGAAUGUUGGACAAUGGGGGCAACCCGGAUCCAGCCAUGCCGCGUGAGUGAAGAAGGCCUUCGGGUUGUAAAGCUCUUUCGGCCGGGAAGAAAUCGCAUCAGCUAAUACCUGGUGCGGAUGACGGUACCGGCAUAAGAAGCACCGGCUAACUACGUGCCAGCCGCCGCCGUAAAAC